rnacentral:rRNA from 1 species
AAGUUUCCGGUUAAAUCCAUUUGCUCAACAAAUGGGCUGCCGGAAAAACUGCAAAGCUAGGGAGUGGGAGAGGUAGACGGUACUCGGUAGGAAGGGGUAAAAUCCUUUGAUCUAUUGAUGACCACCUGUGGCGAAGGCGGUCUACCAGAACACGUUCGACGGUGAGGGAUGAAAGCUGGGGGAGCAAACCGGAUUAGAUACCCGGGUAGUCCCAGCUGUAAACGAUGCAGACUCGGUGAUGCGCUGGCUUGUGGCCAGUGCAGUGCCGCAGGGAAGCCGUUAAGUUUGCCGCCUGGGAAGUACGUACGCAAGUAUGAAACUUAAAGGAAUUGGCGGGGGAGCACCACAAGGGGUGAAGCCUGCGGUUCAAUUGGAGUCAACGCCAGAAAUCUUACCCGGAGAGACAGCAGAAUGAAGGUCAAGCUGAAGACUUUACCGGACAAGCUGAGAGGUGGUGCAUGGCCGUCGCCAGCUCGUGCCGUGAGAUGUCCUGUUAAGUCAGGUAACGAGCGAGAUCCCUGCCUCUAGUUGCCACCAUUACUCUCAGGAGUAGUGGGGCGAAUUAGCGGGACCGCCACAGUUAAUGUGGAGGAAGGAAGGGGCCACGGCAGGUCAGUAUGCCCCGAAACUCUGGGGCCACACGCGGGCUGCAAUGGUAGUGACAAUGAGUUCCGAAACCGAAAGGUGGAGGUAAUCUUCAAACGCUACCACAGUUAUGAUUGAGGGCUGCAACUCGCCCUCAUGAAUAUGGAAUCCCUAGUAACUGCGUGUCAUUAUCGCGCGGUGAAUACGUCCCUGCUCCUUGCACACACCGCCCGU